CGAAAGAUUCGAGAAAUUUCCUCGAAAUCAUCUUAUUGACGUAACGAAACAAAGAAUAUACAAUAAGGAGAAUAUAGAGUAGUAACAAAUGUAAGGGGAUGUUUGUCCUUAAGUGCUUGAAAAGCUGGAGUUGAGUAAUUGAACGCGUGAUCAAUGGGCUUAACUUCUCGAUCGAAUGAGUCUAGACGCAAGAACAGCUAGAAAAUAAGAGAAAAAUAAACGGCGAAUGUUUCUCCAUUGAUCUAUAUAUCAUCUUAUUGUGAAGGUAUAAUGAAAGGAAAGAAGAGAAGAAAUAUGGUAUUGAAGAAAA